rnacentral:rRNA from 1 species
AACGAACGCUGGCGGCAGGCCUAACACAUGCAAGUCGAGCGCACCUUCGGGUGAGCGGCGGACGGGUUAGUAACGCGUGGGAACGUGCCCAGAUCUAAGGAAUAGCCACUGGAAACGGUGAGUAAUACCUUAUACGCCCUUCGGGGGAAAGAUUUAUCGGAUUUGGAUCGGCCCGCGUUAGAUUAGGUAGUUGGUGGGGUAAUGGCCUACCAAGCCUACGAUCUAUAGCUGGUUUUAGAGGAUGAUCAGCAACACUGGGACUGAGACACGGCCCAGACUCCUACGGGAGGCAGCAGUGGGGAAUCUUAGACAAUGGGGGAAACCCUGAUCUAGCCAUGCCGCGUGAGUGACGAAGGCCCUAGGGUCGUAAAGCUCUUUCGCCAGGGAUGAUAAUGACAGUACCUGGUAAGAACCCCGGUAACUCCGU